UACGGGGGGGGCAAGCGUUGUUCGGAAUUACUGGGCGUAAAGGGUUCGUAGGUGGCCUGCUAAGUCAGACGUGAAAUCCCUCAGCUUAACUGGGGAACUGCGUCUGAGACUGGUGGGCUUGAGUGCAGGAGAGGAACGCGGAAUUCCAGGUGUAGCGGUGAAAUGCGUAGAUAUCUGGAGGAACACCGGUGGCGAAGGCGGCGUUCUGGACCGACAUUGACGCUGAAAGCCGAAAGCUAGGGGAGCAAACAGG
rnacentral:rRNA from 1 species